GAAAAAAGAUGGUAGGAACAAGAGGAGGAAGCGAGGUCCCUCUACUUGAUGAAACUACGAGGCUUGCAAAUAUUGCAGAAAAUGAGAGAAAGGUGAGAGCUCUUAUAGAACUUAAAAGGAAUGAAGCAUUAGGAGGAAACAAGAAUCCCACUGAGAAAGGUACAUCACAACAACCCAUGAAAAGGAAAAAGGCAAAUAACUGCACAAGUGAAGUAGCAAAUGGAGGGCGUAAUCUGUGUUCCCAGUCAAGGUUAAACCAUGAUGCUGAAGAUCCAAAUAAUGAACCCAUAGGACAUGGCUUAGAUGACAUUCAAGAAAAUGCUUCAGUUGUGACUAUACACCAAAAAAAGAAGAGAGGAAGGGGUCCCACCGAAUUAAGGAAGAUAUAUGAUAGAGACCAUCCAAAACAAAAGGUUGAACUAAAUGAGUUUGGUCAGCCUGUUGGUAGCAAUGGUAAAACAUUUGCUAAUUUCAUUGGAACAUUGGUAAGGAAGCAAUUGUCGGUGCUAAUUGAGGACUGGAGAUAUGUUUAUCCCGAGUUAAAGUUGAAGCUAUGGGAUGACAUAAAGUCAUAUUUUGAGGUGGAUGAAGUUGCUUUCGAUUACUUUAUGACCACAGUUGCAAAGAAAUGGAGAGAAUUUAAGUUAGACCUAAAGGAGAAGUUUGAUGCCACAUUGACAGAUGAGGAACUUAUGGAAAGAAGUGAUGAAAGAAUUCAAAAGUACGAUUGGAUACAACUUAUCGAUCAGUGGAGAAAACCAGAAUCUGAGUGCUAGAAACAAACAAAACCGUUCCAAUUUGAAAUUGCUACAUGUAGCUGGCAGCAAGAGUUUUACUCGUGUUGGUCAUGAUAUGGCUCAGAAACUUGGGUACUAUCCAGGAAGAGACCAAAUAUUUGUUGAAGACUGGAGUUCCCACCCCACUAGCAGUGCCACUAAUUAAGAAACUUCAAACUGAAGCUAAACUCCACCCAGAAUUGGAGGGAAAUUCUAUUGAAGAAGGGGAUCUGUAUGCACAUACUUUUGGAGAGAAGGAACCAAGAGGACGUGUCCGUAUGUUGGGUACGGGGCCAACUCCACUAAGUGUGGGCGCGCCUGGAACAAAAGCUAAAUUGCCAACAAAGCUUGCAAUGCAAAUACAACUUCGUCGACGUGCUGAACAAGAAGUUUCAACUCUAAAGGAGAGAAUGCAAGUAAUGGAAUGACGCUUCAAUGAGAUGCAGCACACCAUGUUUUCACAAGGAAGUCGCAGUGUUGAAACGGCCACGCCUUCGCCUCCUAAUUCUGUCUCUCGACCCGUGGUAGAGUGCUUAGUUAUCAACUUCUGUUAAGAUACGUGAAUCAUAGGUACACUAAUUCGUUUUGUUUUUGUGUCCCUCCAUAGUUCUCACGUAUUUUACAGGAUGAUGACGAUGAGGAAGAGGAACAUGAGGGUCAUCAUGAUACAGUCCAGGAAGACAAAGGCUUGUUCAUCCAGAAGCGUAUACCAUCUAGCCAUAAUGUUGCAGCCACACAUUUACCACCUAGAAGCCAUGUGGCCACUCCAAGCGCCCGUCAAGCCUCUCAAGCCUCUCAUGAUCAAGAAGACCUUACGAUGCAUGACUUAGGUUGGUAGGGAUGCCAUAUUAUAUCAUUUGGUGAGAUCUGAUCCUGUGGCAAAGGCAAUGGUUAUCUCAACCAACCAGGACACCAUAGUGGGAGGUGAAGUUCUUGGGCUGCAAUAUUACGAAGUUCUUGUGAAUGUUGUAUUGAAAAGAGAGGUCGAGCUUGCUCGUGGAUAUGAUGGGAUGCAAACAAUGGGCGAUGCUCACCACAUGUCCAUUGCAUGGCCAUCAAAUAGGAUCAAACCUUGCAGCAAGUCACAGUUGUCGUCGUCGCACAAUUCAGGGACAAAUGGGAGAAAGUAGCAAGUACUGAAGUUGAUCUAGGAUGUUCCGCUGACCGCUUUUGUCCGUAACAUGUAACAUGGUCGACGCAUUUUGUACAUAUGGAAGUUGAUGUCCGCUUGAUUAAAUACUGGGUAUCUUCCAUAAUAUUUUGUAGUAGUCAAGUGAUCGAACUAUUGAUCUCUUGAGAACUUGCUCAUCUUAUUUUGUAACAGGCCAUGACCUGAAUGUCGACUUGCGUAUUUUCUUAAUGGCUGUAGCUAACUUGAGUGAAGAAAACU